CACAGCUCACAAAAAUUCAUAAUUUGGUUUUCACUUUUCAGAAUAAGCAUAUUCCCUUUUUCUCUUGUGCCAAAUUGGCAAACUCCCAUAGCACAUGGUAGCACCAAAGCCAUGACUGUCGUUGCAACCAGCUUCGCUUUCAAGACCCUCUCAACUAGACCCACUAAGAAGAUGUGCCUUUACUUCUUUCCUCCCUCGAAUCCAAGCUCUUUGGGAUCCAUUUCCGCAACCCAAAUAGUUACUCCUCUUCUUCUCUUCACUGCUCUGCUGAUAUAACUGCUCGUUACGGUGGUGAUUCUCGUUUUGGGUAGCUUUGUUUCUCUUAUUAUUUUGAUUUGAAGGUGUGUUUGCAUGUAUAAUUUUAUGCUGCUAUGGUUUAGAUCAGAUUCUGUCAGGCUUAUUGAUAAGUAGCAGAAUAUGGUUGGGGUAGUGUCUAAAAGCCAGGCCAUUCAAAUGGCUGAAAAUGUGGAGCUCGAUUUGGUCAUAUAAUUCCCUGAUGCAGAUCCUCCUGUUGUCAGAAUAAUGGAUUAUAGGUAAGUACAGAUAUGAACAACAAAAGAAGAAGAAAGUACAGAAGAAAAAAAGUGCAUUUGAAUAUCCUUUCUCUUAAGAGUUUUCUCAUGAGGGAAUGCUAAAGUCAUAUAACAUCAGGCUGGUGGCGAAGCGGCUCUUUUCUAUUUUAGUAUUGUAUGACAUGAUUCUUUGGACCCAGUCAGUAUGACUGUGGAUUUAGCACUUCCCUGUAUAUUUCUCUUUGCUUCAUGAUUAAACUUUUCUUUUUGAGAAAGGAUGCUGACUAAACUAUGAUUUUAACUGCCAGCCAAUUGCAUGGGUUUGUAGGACCUGAAAAUGGGGUAAGUAUUUGCAUCGUGCUUCUAUGUAGUAUUUGCAUUUAAUCUCAUAAUUUAUGGCUUUUGUUAUAUUACUUUGUUUCAUGGUUUUUAUAAAUGGUCAAUUAUCAUCUAUAGUUACAAAACAAGUUUCUCUUGGCAAAAUUAUUUCAUAAUCACACUUCAUAGAUAUUUGCUAGCUGUUAAAAUUUUCUUUCAAACACCGAUGACCCUAGUCUGUCCCCAAAUAUCUUUUCUCUGGGUGUCAAAUUUUUCUUUCAAACAACAAUGGCUUGGAAAACGAACUAUAAUCCUACUAUUUAAUAUCUUGCUUUUUGGUAGUCUAAAAAUGAGAAAUGUUUUAUCAUUUUAUUAUUAAUCUGCAGUUUAUUUUGUUAUGAUAAAAUGAUUAAUGCUCUUGGGAGAGAAAGGUGACAUGUUACCCUGAUACCUCUGGCUCAUGAGAAGUGUCAAGAAGCACAUGCACAAUCUAUCCCCGCAUAAACACUAUACGAGGCUUGCAAUUUAACCUAUUUUGAGCUGUUAUUUGGAGGCCAAGUAUUUCCUCUGUUGAAUUUUGCAGAUUAAGGGAAUUCAUCAAUAAAGGAACAGUGUGAUAUUAAUAGGCUUUAGACUUGCGACUAUCUGAAUGUACAAGUUUCAUUCCAUCAUCUUUUAUUAACACCGGAGGUAGAAAGUUGUGAUCAUUUACCAUGGUUGUGUUAUGUCAAUGGUACUAUCUCAGUGAAGUGAAGAAUACUUGGUGUUGAAUCCGACUUUGCCUAGUCUCUUCCUUGAUGUGUAAGUGCCUUUAUUCAAUCAUAUAUCUUUUUCAUCAACAGGGGUAAAAGGUUGCAAGAGUAACUUAUUUGACUGUGGCUUCCUUCAAGAACUUUAUUCUAAAUCUAUAAUGAAUAGCUAUUUUUGAGCUCUUUCUAUUGUUUUGGCGUUUCUAAAUUGCUUUUAUUUGUUUUAAACAAUUAUAACAUUGAUCAACGUGACAAGGUAUUUUCAUGUUGAAAUUCUAUUGUUCUGUUCGUUUGAAAGCCGCAAGUUUGUUUCUGAAAAAUGGUGACAAGGUUAAGGUCAUACUGAACUUGAAGGGGUGAGAAAAUGAAUUAAGAAAUAUGGCUACGCAGCUCAUAGGGUGUUUCCAGAAUGAUGUUGGGGAGCUUGCAAGUGAGGGAAGCAAAAACUUUCAAGACGGAUAUAUUCAUAGUUUCGAUUCCAAAUAAGGCUGUUGUACAAAAGGCUCAAGAUCCAGGAAAGAAAAAAGAUAAACCAACCAAAAAUGAAGUCUCAGCUGGUCUGCUGGUGUCUGAGUAUCAAAUCUCGAGGAAAAAGUGUUUAUGGCAGUAUAAUAGUCAGCUGGUAGAUUUAUUUUCUUCAACAAUGGAGUUAGGCCUUGUCCUUGGAAGUCUUGUAUGGUAUGUUAGUGUGUCACAACUCACAGCCUGUAUUAAAUGUUUGUUAGAUUUUAAUAACAGAAGCAACCUUUUUUUAUUACAUCAAAUACUUGUAACAUUUUAUGGUAACAUAAUUGAAUCUCUCCUAGCCUUCCUCCGUUUUGUUUCAAAUGAACUCAGUGAUGUGCGACCCGAGUUUGGUUCAGAAAGUUCUGUUAUGAGGUCAGUGGUACUUCCUAUUAGGAUAAUAUCCCUAACGCUGUGAUUGGUAGGAAGGAAAAUGGAGUAAUGGUGAAGACAGGAAAACAGAAAUGGAGUAACGGUGAAGACAGGAAAACAGAAGAGGGAAGGAAUGAAGGAGAAUAUAUUUUUUUUUCCUUCUUCGUGUUUGGUGCAAGAUAUGGAUGCCAAAAGGAAACGAAAGUUGAGGGUAAAAUCAUAAAUCAACAUUUGUUUUUUCUCCCACAUCCGACGAAUUGGAUUUUGAUUUUUGAGGGAAUCGAAAGGCACAAACAAAUUUAUUAGAUGGUCUUUGGGGGCUUGAUGCAUUGCCCGUCUCUGCGAACAUAUCCCUUGUAUGAGAGUUUUUGCUGUACGCUAGUAAGGUCAAGAGGGAAAACUAUGGUGGAGACUGGAGAGGACUAUAUGCUGCCAGUGUGGCAAUGGUCGUGUGGAAGCGACUUCUCUUGGUUCAUAGUACGUUAUGUGAGGGAUGAAAAAAGGAUGACUAGCUAGUCUAGACAAGUCUGAGUUCACUGUUAGUUUCAUAGUUGUUAGAAUUGAAUCAAAUUGUUGAUUUGACCGAU